rnacentral:rRNA from 1 species
CCAAUAGCGUAUAUUAAAGUUGCUGCAGUUAAAAAGCUCGUAGUUGAAUUUCGGGACCAAUAUGUCGGUCGUGCUUUUGUACGUACUGAUAUAAUUGGUUUCUCCCUUCUGAAGAACCUUGAUGUUAUUAAUUUGGUGUCUUGGGGAAUCAGGACUGUUACUUUGAAAAAAUUAGAGUGUUUAAAGCAGGCUCGCGCUUG